GGUGGCUCAGUGGUAGAGCGCUCGCCUUGCAGGCCUGAGGCCCUGAGUUCAAUUCCUCAGCACCA
rfam:Dipodomys ordii contig_29426, whole genome shotgun sequence.